AUCUAUCUUUAUACCGACGAUUUAUAUGGGGAUUGCCAAAAGAUUAUAUCUUGUGAUGGGUUAGAAUGUAAGGAAGGUUCGCAAAAUAGCACUGAAUGGAUUCGUCUAUGGUAAAAAGCCAUGCGCUACAUGCUGAGAGGGACUGGCACAAACUCUGGAAUUCUUUGUAUGCUAUAUUUCCAUUCAUACUUUUCAGGCUACAUGCUGAGAGGGACUGGCACAAACUCUGGAAUUCUUUGUAUGCUAUAUUUCCAUUCAUACUUUUCAG
rnacentral:misc_RNA from 1 species